UUUUUGUGGUUUUGGAUGGACUCGCGGCCUAUCAGCUUGUUGGUGAGGUAAUGGCUCACCAAGGCGACGACGGGUAGCCGGCCUGAGAGGGUGACCGGCCACACUGGGACUGAGACACGGCCCAGACUCCUACGGGAGGCAGCAGUGGGGAAUAUUGCACAAUGGGCGCAAGCCUGAUGCAGCGACGCCGCGUGAGGGAUGACGGCCUUCGGGUUGUAAACCUCUUUCAGUAGGGAAGAAGCGAAAGUGACGGU
rnacentral:rRNA from 1 species